rnacentral:rRNA from 1 species
UUUUUAUGGAGAGUUUGAUCCUGGCUCAGGACGAACGCUGGCGGCGUGCCUAAUACAUGCAAGUCGAGCGGAUCGAUGGGAGCUUGCUCCCUGAGAUCAGCGGCGGACGGGUGAGUAACACGUGGGUAACCUGCCUGUAAGACUGGGAUAACUCCGGGAAA